rnacentral:misc_RNA from 1 species
UAAGUAUUUCCAUUGUUAUACCAUGCUUCGAAUCUAGAGAAAGAUAAGAAAAAGCUGACUUUAUGAUCUGUUGUAGUGAUAAAGUAAGCUGAGAUGAGGGAACAACACGUACUUCUUUUGUGCAUUUUCGUCUCCUAUGCGUCAAUUACUAAAUCGAGAUACUUUCACGAAGGGGACGAAUGUAAGUUAGAGCAUAAGGGAAAUUAUUCGAAAUUUCCGGAAGACUUUUCCUUUGGCGUAUCAACGGCAGCUUACCAGGUCGAAGGUGCAUGGAAUGAAGAUGGUAAGGGGCCAUCCAAUUGGGACACGCAUACUCACUUGCAUCCGGAACGUAUCGAUGACCAUUCAAACGGAGAUGAAGCUGCAGAGUCUUAUCAUCGUUUUGCUCAAGAUUUGGUCGCAUUAAAAGAACUCAAGGUUAACUUUUAUCGGUUUUCUAUAUCUUGGCCUAGAAUACUUCCUCGUGCAGAUACACGAGUGCAAAAUCAAAAGGCGAUUGAUUACUAUAAUAUGAUGAUCGAUAAGUUACUAGAAAACAAUAUUGAGCCAAUGGUAACAAUGUUUCACCAUGAUAUGCCAGAUGAGCUGACAAAGUUCGGCGGCUUCACCAAUGACAUCGUUAUUAAGUACUUCCGCUAUUAUGCAGAUUUUCUGUUCAAAACCUUUGGUGAUCGUGUAAAAAAAUGGAUCACAUUCAAUGAACCAUUCGUUUAUUGUAUACCUGCCUACGGAAAUGCGGUGUUCCCACCUAUGAUCCACGCUCCUGGCGUUGCUGACUACUUAUGUAUGGAUAACACUUUAAAGGCGCAUGCAUCCGCCUAUCGCCUUUAUAAAGCCAAGUAUUCAAAUUAUCAAAAAGGUAAAGUGGGCAUGGCCAUCAGCAGCCGUUUCUAUUACACUAAUACAACAGAUUUUGGCUCAGAAGAUGUUGUGGAUCGUGCAAUGCAAUACUCGUUUGGUUGGUUUGCGCACCCCAUAUUUGGAGAGUCAGGUAAUUAUCCUUAUACCGUUAUCGAAGACAUUACAAGCAACAGCAUGAAAGAAGGACUUGCAUGGUCUCGUUUACGACCCCUCAGCUUAUACUGGUCAAAAAUUGUAAAAGGUUCAGGAGACUUUCUAGGACUUAAUUAUUACAGCUCCCAUUUUGCCCAUACGGUUGAACCUCCAGAGGGUGAAAUUCCCUCCUGGGAACAUGAUUCACGCCUCAAAUUUUCGGUGGACAAGAGAUGGAAGCGUGCUAAGUCUGACUGGCUCUAUUGUGUACCCCAGGGAUUGGAAGAUAUCUUGAAGUGGAUCCGUGAUAACUACAAUAAUAUUGAAGUAUACAUUACGGAAAACGGUUGGUCUGAUGAAGGCAAAUUAGACGACACAAAUCGCAUUGAAUACCUCAAGUCUCAUUUGCAAGCUGUGCUGAACGCCAUAAACGACGGGUGUAAAGUUACGUACUACUCCUACUGGAGUUUAAUCGAUAACUUUGAGUGGAAUAGGGGCUAUACCGAAAGGUUUGGUCUCUAUUACCUGAACGUGACAAGCAAAAAUAAAGAGCGUGUUGCUAAAAAUUCAGCCUCUUAUUACAGGAGUGUUAUUGAAAGUCGAAAACUACCAUGAAGUGACAAUUUCGUGUGAAAAGCUGAUGUAAGUUGAGCAAUAAACUUACAAAGUUGAAAUUAAUAUAGAGGGUAUCUUGAAAUGUAUGUGUAUGUGAAACUACAACGUCUUUGCGU